rnacentral:rRNA from 1 species
UACGGGGGGAGCAAACGUUUGUUCGGAAUCACUGGGCGUAAAGGGCGCGUAGGCGGCCGGGUAAGUGGGGUGUGAAAGCCUCUGGCUCAACCAGAGAAAUGCACUCCAUACUGCCUGGCUUGAGUAUCGGAGAGGAGAGUGGAAUUCCCGGUGUAGCAGUGAAAUGCGUAGAGAUCGGGAGGAACAUCUGUGGCGAAGGCGGCCAUCUGGACCAGCACU